GGACAGUGAAUCACAUGGAACUACCUAUUUCAAUGAAGAGUGUUGAUAACCCUAUGCAAAGGUUGAGGAAUACUCUGGCUGCAAAGAGUGCUAAAUUGGAAGUAGAUCAUGUGAUGUUGAAAAACUGGAACUUCUUGCUCGAAUUGAUGCUCUUCAAGCUGACCUGUAAUGAGAAUGAUCUGAGAAUGCUCAGACUGUGUAGAGGAUGACUCAACUGAUCCCAUCUGCU
rnacentral:lncRNA from 1 species